CCUACGGGAGGCAGCAGUGAGGAAUAUUGGUCAAUGGCCGGAAGGCUGAACCAGCCAUGCCGCGUGAAGGUCAGUGCCCUAUGGGCGUUAAACUUCUUUUGUGCGGGAGCAAUAAUGGUAACGUGUGGCCAGACGAGAGUACCGUACGAAUAAGCAUCGGCUAACUCCGUGCCAGCAGCCGCGGUAAUACGGGGGAUGCAAGCGUUAUCCGGAUUUAUUGGGGUUAAAGGGUGCGUAGGCUGUGAGGUAAGUCAGCGGUGAAAUGCCCCCGCUCAACGGGGUGAAGUGCCAUUGAUACUGCCUUGCUGGAAUGCGGAUGCCGUGGGAGGAAUGUGUGGUGUAGCGGUGAAAUGCAUAGAUAUCACACAGAACACCGAUUGCGAAGGCAUCUCACGAAUCCGCGAUUGACGCUGAUGCACGAAAGCGUGGGUAUCAAACAGGAUUAGAUACCCCUGUAGUC
rnacentral:rRNA from 1 species